rnacentral:rRNA from 1 species
UACGUAGGGUGCUAGCGUUGCUCGGAAUUACUGGGCGUAAAGCGCACGUAGGCGGAUUGUUAAGUCGGGGGUGAAAUCCUGGAGCUCAACUCCAGAACUGCCUUCGAUACUGGCGAUCUCGAGUUCGGGAGAGGUGAGUGGAACUGCGAGUGUAGAGGUGAAAUUCGUAGAUAUUCGCAAGAACACCAGUGGCGAAGGCGGCUCACUGGCCCGAUACUGACGCUGAGGUGCGAAAGCGUGGGGAGCAAACAGG